UACAGAGGUCUCGAGCGUUGUUCGGAUUCAUUGGGCGUAAAGGGUGCGUAGGUGGCGCCGUAAGUCGGGUGUGAAAUUUCGGAGCUUAACUCCGAAACUGCAUUCGAUACUGCGGUGCUUGAGGACUGGAGAGGAGACUGGAAUUCAUGGUGUAGCAGUGAAAUGCGCAGAUAUCAGGAGGAACACCGGUGGCGAAGGCGGAUCUCUGGGCCAUUACUGACGCUGAGGAGCGAAAGCGUGGGGAGCGAACAGG
rnacentral:rRNA from 1 species